rnacentral:misc_RNA from 1 species
GAAUCUUUAUGCUCAAAAUCCCAGUUCAGGUAACUAUUUAUUUGGUUAAUAAAUUAGAGACUUUUUAGCCUGAAUACAUUAACCUGCACAUUCUUGGAAGGUUAUGUUAGUUCCUAUUUAUAUUAAUAGCAAUAAUCUUGUCAUUCACUCUGGUGCCUGCUUCUUUCCUUCUUUUUUGUUCUGCUUUAUUUGAGACCAGAAAUUCAUUUGAAAUGUAUGACUGAUUUGGGAAAUCAUUAUGUCUUUUGCAGCUGGGCAAGAGAGAUUCAGAGCA